AACGCACCUUGCGCCCUUUGGCUAUUCCGAAGGGCAUGCCUGUUUGAGUAUCAUGAACACCUCAACUCUCAUGGCUUGCAUGAUGAGCUUGGACUUUGGAGGUCUUGCCGGCCUAUGGUCUGCUCCUCUCAAAUGAAUCAGCUUGCCAGUAUUUGGUGGCAUCACAGGUGUGAUAAACAUUUACGCUUGUGGUGUCCUGCCAGGUGACCCUCAGCAACGGUGGUCUACUGGGGCUCAUAAACGUCUCUCUUUAGUGGAGACAGCAUUGUGAACGUUUGAUCUCAAAUCAGGUAGGACUACCCGCUGAACUUA
rnacentral:rRNA from 1 species